rnacentral:rRNA from 1 species
GAUGAACGCUGGCGGCGUGCCUAAUACAUGCAAGUCGAGCGAACGGACGAGAAGCUUGCUUCUCUGAUGUUAGCGGCGGACGGGUGAGUAACACGUGGAUAACCUACCUAUAAGACUGGGAUAACUUCGGGAAACCGUAGCUAAUACCGGAUAAUAUUUUGAACCGCAUGGUUCAAAAGUGAAAGACGGUCUUGCUGUCACUUAUAGAUGGAUCCGCGCUGCAUUAGCUAGUUGGUAAGGUAACGGCUUACCAAGGCAACGAUGCAUAGCCGACCUGAGAGGGUGAUCGGCCACACUGGAACUGAGACACGGUCCAGACUCCUACGGGAGGCAGCAGUAGGGAAUCUUCCGCAAUGGGCGAAAGCCUGACGGAGCAACGACGCGUGAGUGAUGAAGGUCUUCGGAUCGUAAAACUCUGUUAUUAGGGAAGAACAUAUGUGUAAGUAACUGUGCACAUCUUGACGGUACCUAAUCAGAAAGCCACGGCUAACUGCGUG